AGUCACAACCCGCAACAUCUUGAUGUUUUCGCCGCUCGCCGUCGGCUUCCUACGUGCUCGUCGUCUCUGCAUUCCCCGAUCGAUUCCUUCGCUUUCUGUUCUUCCGCGUCCCUCCUCUUCUCCUUCUCGAUUGUAGGGCUUCGAUCGUUGGGAGCUCUGGAGGCGCGAAGAUGAAGAUCGAUUGCACAUUGGGCCCGUUCCUGAGGGAGGGGAAGACCUCGAGACCCUGGACGACUUGCGAACGUCUAUGGAGAACGCCGGCAUCCUCUUCGCUGUCAUGCUCGACAACAAGGUCUCUCCUUUUUCAGUUUUCCUCCCCCUCCUCCUCUUAUUCCCGCUGUGGCGUCCUUGCCGGUUCUCCUUUCCCUUUUAUUGGAAUUCUGUUUCCUCGUCGUGUAGUUGACAGUACUGGUUGCUCCUGGUGCCUUUUACUGUUGUUCAGAAAUCUUAAGUGCAUGAGAUGGGAUUGAGAUAAAAUAUCUUGGACUGUCUUUUUAGGCUCUGGGUAAAGUAUGAUGCCAAAUGGAAAGAAAGAACAGGGAUGUGAACCAUUAUUAUAUGGCUGCAGGAGAUUAGAGAAGAGAUCCAAGGUGCAGUCUUUUUCUCUCUCUGUGGAGCUGAAUCAGGUGAUGCUGAGAGGGUGUGGUUUAAAGUCCACUGCAAGAUGUGAUCAGUUGGAAACACAAUCUUCACGGAAGAGGAAAGAAGUAAAAUUGAUCAACCCCUUCAAGUCAGCAUUGGUCUUCGACAGGACCACCAAACUCGAUGGUGCCAUGGAAAAGAUUUCUUUAGAGAGAGACAGAGAGAGAGUAGAAUAAAAGAAUCAGGACAAAAAGACAACCAUUAGCUGUUCAUACAGGUACGUGUGGUUUUAGGCAGAGAGCCUCAAUCACACGGUUGGAGACAAAAACGAGUGUACGAGAGAAUGACCUCUUGCAAAUAUAUUGAUUUGGUCAAAAGAGGCUGCUGCACUGCAUCUGAUGGAAUGUUCAACGCUCUUCUGGAACUCAGCUAUCCGAAGAUGAAGAUGAAGAUGAAGAUGAAGCUUCAGCUUACAAUACGCAAUCCACACUCCUCGGCUUCCAAGCCUGCAAUUAAUUGUGAAGUUUAUGAUGUCAAGCACAGAAAUAUGCUUCAGAAAUGAGACAUUAGUUGAAACAAACCUAUUCACUGGUGCU